GACGAACGCUGGCGGCGUGCUUAACACAUGCAAGUCGAACGGUGAAAGCGGAGCUUGCUCCGCUGGAUCAGUGGCGAACGGGUGAGUAACACGUGGGCAACCUGCCCCUCACUUCGGGAUAACUCCGGGAAACCGGGGCUAAUACCGGAUAUGACCUCCUUGGGCAUCCUUGGAGGUGGAAAGUUUUUCGGUGAGGGAUGGACCCGCGGCCUAUCAGCUUGUUGGUGGGGUAGUGGCUCACCAAGGCGACGACGGGUAGCCGGCCUGAGAGGGCGACCGGCCACACUGGGACUGAGACACGGCCCAGACUCCUGCGGGAGGCAGCAGUGGGGAAUAUUGCGCAAUGGGCGAAAGCCUGACGCAGCAACGCCGCGUGCGGGAUGACGGCCUUCGGGUUGUAAACCGCUUUCAGCAGGGAAGAAGCCGCAAGGUGACGGUACCUGCAGAAGAAGGACCGGCCAACUACGUGCCAGCCGCCGCCGUAA
rnacentral:rRNA from 1 species